AAGUUUAGGAUAAUUUAAACCAAGGGCCUUCAAAGCCNUAAACAGAAGGGCCCCUUCUAACUUCUG
rnacentral:tRNA from 1 species